rnacentral:lncRNA from 1 species
GUUUUUAUGCCCCACCUACGAUAGUAGAGGGGCAUUAUGUUUUCUGGUCUGUGCCUCCGUUCGUCCGUCCGCUUCAGGUUAAAGUUUUUGGUCAAGGUAGUUUUUGAAGAAGUUGAAGUCCAAUCAACUUGAAACUUAGUACACUUGUUCCCCAUGAUAUGAUCUUUCUAAUUUUAAUGCCAAAUUAUAGUUUUGACCCCAAUUUCAUGGUCCACUGAACAUAGAAAAUG